AGACCUCUGCUAGACCGCUCUAGCCCCUCAGUUUUCUUUCCGCUUCCUUACUACCUUGUGGUCCUGACUCGUCUUAGGUUGCAGCCUCCCGGACUUGGCGUAGUGGCCCACCGCUAAACUGCUCACUCGGUCUACAUGCCGGACCUGAUGCUGCGAUCUUUCCCACAGGGCUACACUGUGUCGACGUCCUUGUGGCCAGAAGAGGGCACCAGACCUCAUUACAGAUGGUUGUGAGCCACCACGUGGUUGCUGGGAAUUGAACUCAGGACCUUUGGAAGAGCAGGCAAUGCUCUUAACCGCUGAGCCAUCUCUCCAGCCCUCUAUCAUAUCUUUUUACCGACACUGCAGGAGCCCGUUGGCAUCAACAUUCGAAAAUGUCAUCCACUUGAAACUUUUAUAACCUCGUCUUUUUAAUUUUAUGUGUUUGCGUGUUUUGCCGUUUUGUGCAUGUGUGCACCACAUAUGCAUGCGGCUCCCGCCGAGACCCGAAGAAGGCACCGGAUCCCCCAGUAACGGUUGACUGUGAGCCACCAUAUGGAUGCUAGGAACUGGAUUGGGGUACUCUGCAACAAGUACUCUAAAUCGUCGAGCCAUCUCCCCAUUUGUGUCAUAAAAAAAAAAAAGCUUUUUCAUCUCAAUAGUCUGGCAUCCUGCCUUGUCAGAUACAAAUGAUAUUCCUAGCUUGAAGCAGCAGAGUGAAUCAUGGACUCUAAGAACGCUUUUGGGACAUUGUCUAAGGUGGGGAUGUCUCUAAGGAUGGAUGUGUAUUUAGGUCCAUCAUGUCCCUUCUCUCCUGGUGCAAUCUACCCAGCUACUGGCCUAAAGUCAUGAAGUUUAUGUAACAGCAAGAGAAAACUAUCAAUCCACAUGCUGAAGUUUUCCUUCACAUUGAAAUACAGAAUCUGUUUAAAAAAAAGAAAAAACAGAAA